UAAGAAUAAGAACAAGUAUUUAUCAUAUAAUUCAAAUAGUAAUAAGAUCUGUCUUAGAUUUCAUCUCCCUUAGGUAUUUAGGGAGUUUAGUUCAUAAUUAUGGGGGAAAACAUCUCAAAAUAGGGAAAACAACAAAACAUAAAGAAACCCAAGAACUUCGGUAGAAAUUGAAUGGAGAUCUUCAGUCUUGAAGUAAUCCUGCUUUCGAGCUGAUUCCAAUGGCUUUCCUUCGAGUAUUUUCUGCAUUAUGCUCUGCGUGCCCCCCUUUGAUCCUCUUCUAGGGUGUUAUAUAAACUUUAGAAGGCCCAAAAAACCCAAAAUUAGCCUUUUCUAAGUAGAAUUAGACUUGGGCUCGAUAGGGACACAGCCGUGUGGCACGCCCGUAUGAAGGUGCCCAGGCCGUGUGCGCUUUUAAGUUGGCUUUAAGUCGACACAGCCAAGACACACGGACGUGUGGCCAUCCCGUGUGUGUGUAAAUUACCUGUGUGGAAAUAGGCCAGGCCGUGUGAAGCACUAAGGUAGCCCGUUUUGUCCGAUUUUGGUUUUUUUCUUGAACUUUUUGCCCUCCUAUGCUCAUCUGGAUAUAAAACAUGAAAUUAAAAGAUUAGGAGCAUCAAAUCCACUAAAUCUUGUGAUAAUUCAUCCAAAAAUACACUAAGCAUGGGAUUAAAAUAUGUUACUUUUAUGGCUUAUCAAAUAUCCCCACUUAAGCAUUUGCUUGUCCUCAAGCAAAUCCUCAACUUACCAUUAAAAUCAACCAUUCUCAACUUAUAAUUUUCAUCAAUGAUGUUUCGUCAUAAUUGAUAAAUAGUCGCACUUUGAUAAUUCAACUAAAAGAACACUAAAGGCAUAAGUAAUCUAAAUCAAAAUUUCAAAAUGUGAAAACAGAGGUAUUUCCCUUUAUCUAAGUAAUUACCUUUAAUUAAAAUUUUACAAGAGUUGAUAUCCUCACUAAAGAUUCACUCAAAUCACUCAAAGUGUUUAAGGUUCAGAAUUUAAGCACUCAAUAGUCAACAUGAAAAGUCAUUACCAUAGGCUUGCAUGAAAAUAAAAUAUCCACCACUUAAAAUGAGAUGAUACACAAAUCAAAAGGUCUUUUAAAAGGUUGUAAUGGGGCUUAGGUUAAAGGUGUGGAUAAAGGCUGAAAAUGAGGGUUAAAAUCGAGAUAGAGUUGAUAAGUUAUGAAACUAGAUAAAAUAAAUACAUGCGAAAAUACAUGCAAAAUUACAUCAAUUGCAAUAAAUCUAACACGAUCUUCUUCUCAAUUUAUGCAUAUAAUUGUUUGAGCUCUCUAAACAUAGCUACUGAAUAAUCGAUAAAUAUAAACAUGAGUGUAGAUGCUAAUUUUUUUUAAGAGAACAAGUAUAAGUAUUAACUUAACAAAUGAAAUAAAAGAACCAAGUUAGGUAAUAAACCAAAUCUAAUCUCGACAAAAAGGGAAUUAAUAAAAUGGGAUAAAUUCUUAAUGAAUUAAAAAGGUUGAGAUAUGGGUUAACAUUAAUGGAGUAAAUCAAGAAUGGUGUGCUAGGCUCAAAGGGGUUCACUAGGGGUUAACUGUGGAGGUAAGCUUUUAUGGGAUAAGUAGGUUAAAACCUAGGUGCCUUUAUCAUCUCAGUAUAUCAAAUCAAAGGUGUGGUCUCGACAUGUAUAAUCGAUGCAAGUUCUAGAAUAACAGUUCAAUAUCGACACACUCAUAACCAAUAAUAAAAUGAGGAAGAAGAAUGUAUGCUCUUAAAGGCUCAAAAUCUCACAGAAAUUAUGGCUUUUGAUGUCAAUCCUGCAAUUUUUAAAUUUCAAAGUAAUACUUCAAUUUAGGGAAACAACCUAAAAUUUUCAAUUCAAAAAUAUUUCAACUUAUCAUGCUUGAUUCUCUAAUGCCUUAAAGUUUAAACCAUCAACGUACAAUUCUCUAUGAACUUAAUCUACAACAUAUCAAUAAAUAUCACAAGUUAUUGAAAGAUUCACUCUAAUAGUAAUAUGAGAAAAUUACCUAAAUACAAGACAUAAUUCAGGGAUUUUCUGAUAAUCAUAUAAAUAACCUCCCCACAUUUAAGAUGUACAUUGUCCUCAAUGUACAAACAUUGAUAGAUAAUAACAAUAUAAGUGUAAUAUCAUAAAAGAGGGGGAGAAGCGAAACUGCCCUAAAUUGUUUUGGAUGAAGUCCUUGGAAUAGUAAAAGGAAAAUUGUAAAUAGGGCCAAUGAAAGGUAUGAUUCUGAGUUACUAAUAAGAAAAUAAACACAACUGUGGAAGAGAAUGAAGGGGUUAGAACUCGAUUAGGAACAUAUAGUUCAAAAUAUAAAAGAAAAAUAAACAUAAAAAUAAAAAAAUAGAAAUAGAAAUAAAUGGACCCAGUUUUCACACAACCUAGGACAUGCCCGUGUGUCCUGGCUGUGUGGUUCACACGAUCGUGUCGCACGACCAUGUACUCUUCUUCGCUUCUCCCACGCCUUUGUGGUCUCCAACACACCUGUGUGUCUGAACACACGGUCGUGUGUAACACCUUAAACCCGGCCUAGACGUUACGACCGAAUCUAGCGUGUCACAUCGAAGCAUUUUUCAAAAAUUGAUCUUAUCGGUAAAAAUCUAUUAACGAAGGUAAAUCCUUUAAUUGUUGUUUUAAAAGAGUUUGCAUCAAAAUGUUUAAUUUAUUGAUCAUUGGUGUUACUUUUAGAUUCGUUAAAUAAAAAGGCAGAAGCUCUAUAGGUCGAUGAAAUUUGAAUCGCGUGUUUCAGAAAAUAAUAUUUGUUUUGAAAACCCGCCAGUACCUAGUCUAGCAGUUUAAAAUAUAAUUCAAAAUCCCAAUUAAACUUAAACCCAUAAAUGGCCUUAUUAAAUGUUCAAAACCUAAAAAGGAAAUUCAAUGCAACCGUGUGGCCACCUCCGAGUCCCUCGCGGCUCCAAAUCGCCUAAAGCUGGGGAUUACCUGCGCAGUUAAAAGAAAGGGUGGGUUUACGAAAACUCAGUGUGUAGUCUCCUAUCAGUAAAUUGAUAAACAAUAUGUGCAAAAUAGUCUGGGCCUCAGCCCUAUUCAGUACCAGUACAGUCCAGGCCUUAGCCCUAUACAGCAACAGUGUGGGCCUAAGCCUAAUACAAUAACAAUAUGAAAAUAUGCAACCUAUCCCAAAUCUAACUAGCACACCACCCGUACCAACCAGCACACCCAUAUUGCAGCGAGGCUGCCAGUAAUAAUAGCACAGCAUUGCUGCCAGUAAUAAUAAGGGCGGCAAGCCACCAGUAACAGUAAACGUGACAUCGUCACCAGUACAGUACUUCCUCCAUAUCAUAAUCCCAACCCCAUGCGGUAUGUAAUGUCACAAUAAUACAUGCAAUCAAAAUCAUGCUCAAUACAGUCAUACCCAUAUCCUACAGUCAGUCAAUCAACCCACCUCUACGGUUAUAAAAAUCAUUUGCGUUCAUCAGGGUAAAAUAGUAAUUUUACCCCCUUGAGGGUACUUUGGUCAUUUUAUUACUUUUAAAGAUUCGGUACAAAUAGCAAUCUCUUAAAAGGUCUGUCGUCGCCUCGAGCGACUCAGAUAACUUAAAUGGUCAUGACGGUGUAAAUGGGCCCAAGUGGGCCCACACGCUCGUGUGGCCCAAUUAGCCCAAUUCCAGUUGCAAAAAUGCGAUCAUUAUCGUCCACUCUAUUAUUUGACACCUACCGUAACUUUUGUCCGUGUGGGGCCCAUGAGCCCAUUAGGCCCAUACGGACCAUGUUGGCCCAACGAGGCCCACGACUUGAGCCCACGAGAACACUCGGGGCGGUCUUUAUAGUCUGUUGUCCCUGAUUUAUGGCUCGGUUUACCCCACGUGCUUUCGCACGCUCGUGAGGCCUCAAAUGCUGAAGUUUCGGCUUUUCAGCUUUUCGACUUUUGUCGAUUCAUAGUAACAAAGUGGUGUAAAUACACACCUAUAUCCAACAUUCGAUAAUAGAAAAUUAGGCGAACGAUUACAUACCUUGAUUGCGAAAGUGAAAGAGAAUUCCCCUACGAGUCCAAAGCCUACAAUCAAUCCAACAACCAGUUAAACUCUACUAAAACAAUCGCAACAAUUAAUUCUAACCCAAUUCUCCUACUAACCUUGAUCGCAAAGAGGGUGGCCAACUGUGCCUAAAAUAGUUAGGAUCUAUCUCACGCUUUGACGAGAAUCUGAGUUCUAAGCAGAUCUAGAUAGUCAGUAACAACUACCAUCCUAUUAACACAAAAGUACAGAUUCGGCUAAACCCCAAGCAAUGAGAUGGCAUACUACCUUAGUCGAAUACUUGAGGGGAAAGGCUGUGGUUUCUUUAACCCUGCUUGCACACCACUACUCCUUGAAGAACCUUAAACAAAAUAUGAAAGGAAUCAUAAAUCGAUACCUGAUAAACAGGAAGAAAACAUUCGGCUAAAAAAGAAUGGAAGGAAGCAUAACCUCAACCCUUACCAAACUUCAGAGAAUCCUAGCGCAACAUAAGAAGAACAGGGAAGUAUUCGACCAAUUCCUAAAUAGCAGAGUAACCGACGAUGGUUAGCUAUAAAGAUAAAGGGUAUUCGGCCUCAAGAGAAAAGAGUAUGUCAAAAGGAAAUAGAAGAAAAGAAUAAGGUAAGAAGAUGAAGAGAAGAUUCGGCUAGCAAAGAAAUCAAGAGAAAGUCAAAUAGCGAGAGAGGAGAAAAUGAGGAGAAAAUAAGGUCUUGGAUGAGGCAAUAAUCGGUCAAGGGUUGGAAGAAAAGAGAGACUCGACACUAGGGAAAAUAUAUACCAAAACGCCAAAAGAUAAAAUCCUGAAAAUAGAAGAGGAAUAAUUCGGCUCCUACCCCCACACCAAAUGCUGAAAUGCACCAAAUGAGUUCCCUUAGCCGAAUUUGUACAAAAGAGUUGCCCAAUUCGGCCACAACACUACUCCCCUCCAAAUCCCUUGAAACUCUCUUCAAAACUCUCCUUGAUAUCCUCCACAAUCGUCUCCUAACAACUAAAGACCAAUUCAAACUCCCACCACACAGAAUCCUACUUCAGUUCAACCACUUGUCGUCUACAAGUGCAAAAUAAAUGCCCCUUGUUUGCCAUGGGGUUCGAACCCUCUCCCAACAGCUAUGUAACGUCACCACCACUAAGCCAGAAGGCUUUUUAUGACGCAACACAACCACAAUUAUUUAUAAAGCCUAAGUGCCAGCAUCUAGGUUCUUUUAAAGCAAAAAUCAAAAAUUCUGCAAAAGCUGGAGCUUGAACCCAGGACUUCCUAGACACCCCCAAACACACCCCAAACCACUUAGCUGCUAA
rnacentral:lncRNA from 1 species